UAAAGGCAAGACAAGGGUGAUAUUACCCAGUAAGAGAGAACAAACAGGGAGAUGGUACAGUCAUGUGUAGAGGAGAGAGGAAGAGGAGGUAAGUCGGGAUUUGACGCCUCCAGAGAGCUCCAGAAGAGCAAGUGAAAGGCAUGCCAGCAUCCUUCAGAGGGGGCUGGUACUAGUCCUGACUCCACCCAUCCCAGUCCUGACUCCACCCAUCCCUGUCCUCUCCUUCCCUGGCAGCCCUUAGCUUCCACCAGGACACGGGGAAGGGAUGGGUGAAGAACCAAAGGUCCUCGAUGGAGAAGUGGCAAGAAGAGGGGUCCUGGAGCUCUGGCAGAGAGACCAGCAGUGUGGGCAGGUUCUUCAGACCAUGUUCUGAAAAAAAAAAAGCUAUGAGAAAAAUGGACUGAAAGGAAAGGAGCAGCAUCAAGAGGCAUGCUUAGUUUUUAAUUGACUAUAAUAAGCAGUGUGAACAAAAUGAGAAUGCGCUUGUGUUUGGCGAGCAUCCCCUAAUAGGACGGUGGUAUGCUCAUCCCAGCCUAAAGCAGAGCUUACAUCCCCUCGGGUCACUUUUGAACCCACAGCACUGAGCUGCUCUAUGCUGGUGGUCUCUGUUUCCUUAUGAAUAUGCUUGACUUUAGAGAUGCCUCAGUCAUCCAGUUCACAGCCACCCCUGACUUGAUUUUACUCUUCGGGGGGCCUCAGUUCAGAGGACCACGGGCAGCUUGGCCUUUUGUGUCCCUUCGGAGUGAGCAGAAAGUGCCCCCUUCUCAGAGGCUCACUCCUUUCCACGUGGCCAUGAGCCACCUCCACAUAAGGGACAGUGACCUGGGGCUGUGACCUGGAUUUCCCGAUUCCUUCUGCAUGAUCUGGGCCCCUCCUCCUGCUGUUGUCACCUGCUCCUCCAGCAGGAAGCAGGACUGUUGGGAGUGCUGGCCCUGGCUGCUGGGAGAUUUUUCACACCACCUAAGGUAGUGCAAACUCUGUGGUGUGAGAUCCGGAAGGUGCCAAGAGGUCUGUAUAGGCGGGGAGCAGUGAGUGAGGCCUUCCUCUGUGCACACUUGUUGAAUGAGUUAAGUUUUGCAGGAGGGACAUUUUGACAAGCACAGAACCACACUGCUCUCAUGGUCAACUUGAGUGGUGAGCCAUCUAUCUGUCUGUCUAUCUAUCUAUGCCUUUCCGCAUUUUGUACAAAAGGAAAUCAGAGAGCCACUACUAGGGUCCAGCUACCCGCUGCCUUGCAGUCACAUUCGCCCAGGUUUUGGCUGUACCCUCUUGGGGAAGAAAUAGGGCACUCUGGGCUUUUCUCAAUUG
rnacentral:lncRNA from 1 species